CCUACGGGAGGCAGCAGUGGGGAAUUUUGGACAAUGGGCGCAAGCCUGAUCCAGCCAUGCCGCGUGCAGGAUGAAGGCCUUCGGGUUGUAAACUGCUUUUGUACGGAACGAAAAGACUCUGGUUAAUACCUGGGGUCCAUGACGGUACCGUAAGAAUAAGCACCGGCUAACUACGUGCCAGCAGCCGCGGUAAUACGUAGGGUGCGAGCGUUAAUCGGAAUUACUGGGCGUAAAGCGUGCGCAGGCGGUUAUAUAAGACAGAUGUGAAAUCCCCGGGCUCAACCUGGGAACUGCAUUUGUGACUGUAUAGCUAGAGUACGGCAGAGGGGGAUGGAAUUCCGCGUGUAGCAGUGAAAUGCGUAGAUAUGCGGAGGAACACCGAUGGCGAAGGCAAUCCCCUGGGCCUGUACUGACGCUCAUGCACGAAAGCGUGGGGAGCAAACAGGAUUAGAUACCCUGGUAGUCCACGCCCUAAACGAUGUCAACUGGUUGUUGGGUCUUCACUGACUCAGUAACGAAGCUAACGCGUGAAGUUGACCGCCUGGGGAGUACGGCCGCAAGGUUGAAACUCAAAUGAAAUUGACGG
rnacentral:rRNA from 1 species